GAUGAACGCUAGCGGCAGGCCUAACACAUGCAAGUCGAGGGAGAAGCCCUUUCGGGGGCAGAAACCGGCGCACGGGUGCGUAACGCGUAUGCAACCUACCUUUCACAGGGGGAUAGCCCGAAGAAAUUUGGAUUAAUACCCCAUAAUAUUAUUGGAUGGCAUCAUUUGAUAAUUAAAACUGCGGUGGUGAAAGAUGGGCAUGCGUCCUAUUAGCUAGUUGGAGUGGUAACGGCACCCCAAGGCUACGAUAGGUAGGGGUCCUGAGAGGGAGAUCCCCCACACUGGUACUGGGACAGGGACCAGACUCCUACGGGAGGCAGCAGUGAGGAAUAUUGGUCAAUGGUCGGAAGACUGAACCAGCCAUGCCGCGUGCAGGAAGAAUGCCUUAUGGGUUGUAAACUGCUUUUAGAUGGGAAGAAUAAGGCGUACGUGUACGUUGAUGACGGUACCAUAUGAAUAAGCAUCGGCUAACUCCGUG
rnacentral:rRNA from 1 species